rnacentral:rRNA from 1 species
UACAGCGGUCCCAAGCGUUGUUCGGAUUCACUGGGCGUAAAGGGUGCGUAGGCGGUCGGGUAAGUCUGAUGUGAAAUCUCACAGCUUAACUGUGAAACUGCAUUGGAUACUAUCCGGCUAGAGGAAUGGAGGGGAGACUGGAAUACUUGGUGUAGCAGUGAAAUGCGUAGAUAUCAAGUGGAACACCAGUGGCGAAGGCGAGUCUCUGGACAUUUCCUGACGCUGAGGCACGAAAGCCAGGGGAGCAAACGGG